rnacentral:tRNA from 1 species
GCCCGGGUGGUGGAACCUGGUAGACACGUACGUUUGAGGGGCGUAUGGCGUGAGCCGUGCGGGUUCAAAUCCCGCCCCGGGCA